rnacentral:rRNA from 1 species
GACGAACGCUGGCGGCGUGCUUAACACAUGCAAGUCGAACGGAAAGGCCUGUCCUUCCUUGUGUUGGACGGGUACUCGAGUGGCGAACGGGUGAGUAACACGUGAGUGAUCUGCCCCCAACUUGGGUAUAAGCCUGGGAAACUGGGUCUAAUUCCCGAUAGGACUGCAGGGUGGUGCCUGUGGUGGAAAACGAUUUUCUAGUGGUUGGGGAUGAGCUCGCGGCCUAUCAGCUUGUUGGUGGGGUAAUGGCCUACCAAGGCGGCGACGGGUAGCCGGCCUGAGAGGGUGGACGGCCACAUUGGGACUGAGAUACGGCCCAGACUCCUACGGGAGGCAGCAGUGGGGAAUAUUGCACAAUGGGCGGAAGCCUGAUGCAGCGACGCCGCGUGGGGGAUGACGGCCUUCGGGUUGUAAACUCCUUUCGACCGCGAGGAAGCCGCCUGGUCGGAAGGGUGGUGACGGUAGUGGUAGAAGAAGCACCGGCUAACUACGUG